rnacentral:rRNA from 1 species
AUGGAGGCGGAGUACCAGGCCGCCCUCGAGGAGGCCCUGCAGCAGGCGCUGGAGGCUAGCCGCCUCGAGGAGGACGCGCACUGGGAUGGGCUGGAGCAAGCCCUCGCCCUAUCGGCGGCGGGGGACUCCGUCCACUCCCCGCUGUUCGUGCCGCCACCGCCACCCUCGCCGCCCAUCCAGCCCAAGCCGGAGCCGGAGCCGACGCGGAAGCGCUCCCCGCCUCCACCCACUUGGCCGGAGGAGACCUACUCGUGGACGGGUCAGUACCGCGAGUGGGUGAGCGCGCGCCCCGUCCACUUCGCCGCGACGCCGGAGCAGGAGGUCGACCACCUCGAGCGCUGA